UACGGAGGGAGCUAGCGUUGUUCGGAAUUACUGGGCGUAAAGCGCGCGUAGGCGGCUUUGUAAGUUAGAGGUGAAAGCCCGGGGCUCAACCCCGGAACUGCCUUUAAGACUGCAUCGCUUGAAUCCAGGAGAGGUGAGUGGAAUUCCGAGUGUAGAGGUGAAAUUCGUAGAUAUUCGGAAGAACACCAGUGGCGAAGGCGGCUCACUGGUCCGGUACUGACGCUGAGGUGCGAAAGCGUGGGGAGCAAACAGG
rnacentral:rRNA from 1 species